rnacentral:tRNA from 1 species
GUCCCUGUAGCACAAUGGAUUGCGCGUUCGACUGUUAAUCUAAAGGUCGUAGGUUCGAAUCCUACCUGGGAUG